AGCCCCGGAGCCCUUGUGGGGCUCUUUUUCAAACUUGCAUUUUGAUGUAUCUCACUUCGGGGCUU
rnacentral:tRNA from 1 species